rnacentral:lncRNA from 1 species
UGUAGUGUGUUUAUUCUGUAAACUUGUAAAGAUAUCAAAUUGAAAUAUAGUGUCACAUGAGUUUAAAUGUCAAUUGGAUAUUGUAAUAUAGCCCCUCGUCUUCUCCACAUCAAUAUUUAUAGUAAAUGCUCGUGCUUACGAGAAAUAGUUAGGAUAUUCAUUUAUCUGUUCCUUGUGUGGAACGUAAAAUUACAAACAGUUACAAUUUUAAUUCACACACGGAGCUGUCAAAUUGUUAAUUUUGAUGGAAGUCCUUUUGAAAUG